GGGCUCGUGGCCUAGUUGGAUAAGGCGACGGCCUUCUAAGCCGUAGAUCGCGGGUUCAAAUCCCGUCGGGCCCA
rnacentral:tRNA from 2 species